rnacentral:rRNA from 1 species
CCUACGGGUGGCAGCAGUCGAGAAUCAUUCACAAUGGGGGAAACCCUGAUGGUGCGACGCCGCGUGGGGGAAUGAAGGUCUUCGGAUUGUAAACCCCUGUGAUGUAGGAGCAAAUGAAAAAGAUAGUACCACAAGAGGAAGCUACGGCUAACUCUGUGCCAGCGGCAGCGGUAAUGCAGAGGGCUCAAGCGUUGCUCGGAAUCACUGGGCGUAAAGCGUGCGGAGGCUGUUUCGUAAGUCGUGUGUGAAAGGCGUGGGCUCAACCCGCGGACGGCACAUGAUACUGCGAGACUAGAGUAAUGGAGGGGGAACCGGAAUUCUCGGUGUAGCAGUGAAAUGCGUAGAGAUCGAGAGGAACACUCGUGGCGAAGGCGGGUUCCUGGACAUUAACUGACGCUGAGGCACGAAGGCCAGGGGAGCGAAAGGGAUUAGAUACCCCAGUAGUC